rnacentral:rRNA from 1 species
CAGUCGCCGCGGGAAUACAGAGGGUGCGAGCGUUAAUCGGAUUUACUGGGCGUAAAGCGUGCGUAGGCGGCUUCUUAAGUCGGAUGUGAAAUCCCUGAGCUUAACUUAGGAAUUGCAUUCGAUACUGGGAAGCUAGAGUAUGGGAGAGGAUGGUAGAAUUCCAGGUGUAGCGGUGAAAUGCGUAGAGAUCUGGAGGAAUACCGAUGGCGAAGGCAGCCAUCUGGCCUAAUACUGACGCUGAGGUACGAAAGCAUGGGGAGCAAACAGGAUUAGAUACCCGUGUAGUCCAUGUCUCUUAUAC